CCUACGGGGGGCAGCAGUGAGGAAUAUUGGUCAAUGGGCGAGAGCCUGAACCAGCCAAGUCGCGUGAAGGAUGAAGGAUCUAUGGUUUGUAAACUUCUUUUAUAUGGGAAUAAAGUGAGGAACGUGUUCCUUUUUGUAUGUACCAUAUGAAUAAGCAUCGGCUAACUCCGUGCCAGCAGCCGCGGUAAUACGGAGGAUGCGAGCGUUAUCCGGAUUUAUUGGGUUUAAAGGGUGCGCAGGCGGCACGGCAAGCCGGCGGUCAAAUCGCGGGGCUCAACCCCGCCCAGCCGUCGGAACUGCCGGGG
rnacentral:rRNA from 1 species